CAGUAGCGUAUAUUAAAGUUGUUGCAGUUAAAAAGCUCGUAGUUGGAUUUCUGGUACGCUGCGCCUAGGCCGCCCUAUUUUAGGUGUGUGUCCUGGAGCGCGGUUGCCAUCCUUCUAGAAAACUUUCCUACCCUUCACUGGGCCGGGUCAGCAAUCUAGAUCUUUUACUUUGAAAAAUUAGAGUGUUUAAAGCAGGCUUAUGCUGUGAAUACAUUAGCAUGGAAUAAUAAUAUAGGACUUUGGUUCUAUUUUGUUGGUUUCUAGGACUAAAGUAAUGAUUGAUAGGGAUAGUUGGGGGUGCUAGUAUUCAGCGGCCAGAGGUGAAAUUCUUGGAUUCGCUGAAGACUAACUUAUGCGAAAGCAUUCACCAAGGAUGUCUUCUUUAAUCAAGAACGAAAGUUGGGGGAUCGAAGACGAUUAGAUACCAU
rnacentral:rRNA from 1 species